rnacentral:rRNA from 1 species
UACGAAGGGUGCUAGCGUUGUUCGGAAUUACUGGGCGUAAAGCGUUUGUAGGCGGGGUUAUAAGUUAAAUGUGAAAUCCCCAGGCUCAACCUGGGAACUGCAUUUAAAACUGUGGCUCUUGAGUAUUAGAGAGGAUGAUGGAAUUGCUGGUGUAGGAGUAAUAUCCGUAGAUAUCAGCAGGAACACCAGAGGCGAAGGCGAUCGUCUGGCUAAAUACUGACGCUGAAAAACGAAAGCGUGGGGAGCAAACAGG